rnacentral:rRNA from 1 species
GAUGAACGCUGGCGGCGUGCCUAAUACAUGCAAGUCGAGCGAACGGACGAGAAGCUUGCUUCUCUGAUGUUAUCGGCGGACGGGUUAGUAACACGUGGAUAACCUACCUAUAAGACUGUGAUAACUUCGGGAAACCGGAGCUAAUACCGGAUAAUAUUUUGAACCGCAUUGUUCAAAAGUUAAAGACGGUCUUGCUGUCACUUAUAGAUGGAUCCGCGCUGCAUUAGCUAGUUGGUAAGGUAACGGCUUACCAAGGCAACGAUGCAUAGCCGACCUGAGAGGGUGAUCGGACACACUGGAACUGAGACACGGUACAGACUCCUACGGGAGGCAGCAGUAGGGAAUCUUACGCAAUGGGCGAAAGCCUGACGGAGCAACGCCGCGUGAGUGAUGAAGGUCUUCGGAUCGUAAAACUCUGUUAUUAGGGAAGAACAUAUGUGUAAGUAACUGUGAACAUCUUGACGGUACCUAAUCAGAAAGCCACGGCUAACUACGUG